UCACAUAGCUCCCCCCCAGACUGGAUGACUGUCAGUGGAGCCUCGGCGGAACACAAGCUGUCAGGAGGACACAGAGAAACGGCUGGUCUGCUGUGUGGAGUGAGUGACCAAAGGCAGGAGGCCGGUGACACUGCACUCGGCAGCCCUCGCCGCUGAGUUGAGUCAACGGAAAAGUACUGUGAGAGGAAACCGGAGAACCUGGAGAAACCCCACGCACACACGGGGAGAACAUGCCAACUCCUUGCUGAAAGACCCUGGUUCCGACUGGGGUCACAAACCCAGGUCUUCUUGCU